UACCAGCUCCGCGAGUGGUCGGGGUGAUUACUGGGCCUAAAGCGCCUGUAGCCGGCCCACCAAGUCGCCCCUUAAAGUCCCCGGCUCAACCGGGGAACUGGGGGCGAUACUGGUGGGCUAGGGGGCGGGAGAGGCGGGGGGUACUCCCGGAGUAGGGGCGAAAUCCUUAGAUACCGGGAGGACCACCAGUGGCGGAAGCGCCCCGCUAGAACGCGCCCGACGGUGAGAGGCGAAAGCUGGGGGAGCAAAGGGG
rnacentral:rRNA from 1 species